rnacentral:rRNA from 9 species
AAUGCGUAGAGAUCUGGAGGAAUACCGGUGGCGAAGGCGGCCCCCUGGACAAAGACUGACGCUCAGGUGCGAAAGCGUGGGGAGCAAACAGGAUUAGAUACCCUGGUAGUCCACGCCGUAAACGAUGUCUACUUGGAGGUUGUGCCCUUGAGGCGUGGCUUCCGGAGCUAACGCGUUAAGUAGACCGCCUGGGGAGUACGGCCGCAAGGUUAAAACUCAAAUGAAUUGACGGGGGCCCGCACAAGCGGUGGAGCAUGUGGUUUAAUUCGAUGCAACGCGAAGAACC